GGACGCUUAGCUCAGCCAGGUCAGAGCAACCGGCUCAUAACCGGUCGGUCCUGGGUUCGAAUCCCAGAGCGUCCACUA
rnacentral:tRNA from 1 species